rnacentral:rRNA from 1 species
AUACGUAGGGGGCAAGCGUUAUCCGGAUUUACUGGGUGUAAAGGGAGCGUAGACGGAAGGCCAAGUCUGAUGUGAAAGCCCGCGGCUCAACUGCGGGACUGCAUUGGAAACUGGUCAUCUGGAGUGCAGGAGGGGUAAGCGGAAUUCCUAGUGUAGCGGUGAAAUGCGUGGGAAUUAGGAGGAACACCGGUGGCGAAGGCGGCUUACUGGACUGUAAGUGACGCUGAGGCGCGAAAGUGUGGGGAGCAAACAGGAUUAGAUACCCUGGUAGUCCACACUGUAAACGAUGAAUGCUAGGUGUAAGAGGUAACGACCCCUUUUGUGCCGGAGUCAACACAAUAAGCAUUCCGCCUGGGGAGUACGGCCGCAAGGUUGAAACUCAAAGGAAUUGACGGGG